rnacentral:rRNA from 1 species
UACGUAGGGGGCUAGCGUUGUCCGGAAUUACUGGGCGUAAAGGGUGAGUAGGUGGUCAUUAAAGUCAGAUGUAAAAGGCAAAGGCUCAACCAUUGUAAGCAUUU